GCCAGUGUAGCACAGUGGUUAAGGUGUUGGACUAGGAUUUGGAAAACCUAGGUUCAAAUCCCCACUCUGCCA
rnacentral:tRNA from 1 species